AUUGAACGCUGGCGGCAGGCCUAACACAUGCAAGUCGAGCGGAGCGGCGGACGGGUUAGUAAUGCCUAGGAAUCUGCCUGGUAGUGGGGGAUAACGUCCGGAAACGGGCGCUAAUACCGCAUACUAUCAGAUGAGCCUAGGUCGGAUUAGGUAGUUGGGGGGGUAAAGGCCUAGCAAGGUGACGAUCCGUAGCUGGUCUGUGAGGAUGAUCAGUCACACUGGAACUGAGACACGGUCCAGACUGCUACGGUAGGCAGCAGUGGGGAAUAUUGGACAAUGGGCGAAAGACUGAUCCAGCCAUGCCGCGUGUGUGAAGAAGGUCUUCGGAUUGUAAAGCACUUUAAGUUGGGAGGCGUUACCAACAGAAUAAGCACCGGCUAACUUCGUGCCAGCAGCCGCGUUAAUC
rnacentral:rRNA from 1 species